rnacentral:rRNA from 1 species
UACGUAGGGUGCGAGCGUUGUCCGGAAUUACUGGGCGUAAAGAGCUCGUAGGUGGUUUGUCGCGUUGUUCGUGAAAACUCACAGCUUAACUGUGGGCGUGCGGGCGAUACGGGGCAGACUGGAGUACUGCAGGGGGAGACUGGAAUUCCUGGUGUAGCGGUGAAAUGCGCAGAUAUCAGGAGGAACACCGGUGGCGAAAGGGCGGG